GAUUAGCUAGUAGGUGGGGUAACGGCUCACCUAGGCGACGAUCCCUAGCUGGUCUGAGAGGAUGACCAGCCACACUGGAACUGAGACACGGUCCAGACUCCUACGGGAGGCAGCAGUGGGGAAUAUUGGGCAAUGGACGCAAGUCUGACCCAGCAACGCCGCGUGAAGGAAGAAGGCUUUCGGGUUGUAAACUUCUUUUAACAGGGAAGAGAAGAAGACGGUACCUGUUGAAUAAGCCACGGCUAACUACGUGCCAGCAGCCGCGGUAAUACGUAGGUGGCAAGCGUUGUCCGAAUUUACUGGGUGUAAAGGGCGUGUAGCCGGGAAGGCAAGUCAGAUGUGAAAUCUGGAGGCUCAACCUCCAAACUGCAUUUGAAACUGCUUUUCUUGAGUAUCGGAGAGGUAAUCGGAAUUCCUUGUGUAGCGGUGAAAUGCGUAGAUAUAAGGAAGAACACCAGUGGCGAAGGCGGAUUACUGGACGACAACUGACGGUGAGGCGCGAAAGCGUGGGGAGCAAACAGGAUUAGAUACCCUGGUAGUCCACGCUGUAAACGAUCAAUACUAAGGUGUGGCGGGGACUGACCCCCUGCCUUGCCGCAGUUAACACAAUAAGUAUUGCACCUGGGGGAGUACGAUCCGCAAAGUUGAAACUCCAAAGGAAUU
rnacentral:rRNA from 1 species